GGCGCGGGAGGGAAGCCCGGACGCCUACUGCACCUUCUCCUGGGAGUCUCCGCCCUGAAAACGGGAGUUGGUGGCUUGCGGCUUCUGAGAGAUCGGAAUCACCACUGGAGGGAAAGGAAGAAGGAACCGACCAGAAAAGCAGGACCGGGACGAGUGCGGACCUUGCUGCGCUUGGAGACAGAGAGAAAGGAGAAGAAUUUAUUUUCGGAGUCUGGGGGAGCCCAAGGACAGCGGGGCGUGGGACUGGCCUUGGCAAGUGCUGCCCUUGGAAGGUACUCCUUUCCUUCUGAAGACCAGCUCACCAUGCUGCCCAGGCCACAGAGCAACGUGAGAUGACCAUCCUAAAGGUCAAGUUUAUGUCUUCUCCAUACAAGAGACCUCCUGGGAUGAGCUAAAGUAUCUCCAUCCAAUUCCACGUCCUGGGACCUGUCGGCUCCAUUUGCCCUCACUGAAAUCCAGCUUUUGACACCAGGAAAAACAGGGAAGUUAACAGUU